CAUAAUGUGUCAGUCAGAGGCUGUAAUCAACAAGGGUGCUCUCCAAAGGCCUCCAUUCUGAUUCCAAGCUACAGAGAAACAGUGGAUCUGCAGAGAGUUGUAAUGGAACAAUCAGAGAGUGAAGUUCACCUGACCUGGUUUGGAACUGAAAAUGAGGCUUUAACAGCUGUAGACAUUGCCUGGUGUAAAAUGAGACCUGCAGGUUUCAAAUGUAAAGAUGAAAUCCAUAUUCUUAGAAGUGAAAAUGCUAACAGCAUAGUUCUGCCCCAAGAAAGCAAUCGGUCAAGAUAUUGAUGAAUGCCUCUUUGGUGUAGCUGCCAUCAAUAAUAGAAACAUCAGCAGUGGAGUUAAAUGGCAGGAUGAAUGCAGAUAUGUAAAGAAUGCAGUGCCCCCAGCUGUUCAGCAUGUGUCCCUGCUCCCCUCUCUCCCAAAGAACAGUCUGACCAUAAGCUGGGCUCCGAUCAAAUGUGACUCAGGAACAAACAACGCUUAUAUCAACCAAUACCAGAUUAUCUACUGCCAGCAGCCUACAGAGGACACCUGUGAUACCUCAGAGGUUUCCAUGGUGAACGUGUCUGCAUGGGGUAUUACUCAGUAUACUCUCAGAGAUCUGAGGCCUGAUGUGGAAUAUGGAGUUAUGGUCAGGGCCCUAUCUCUGACAAAGGAGGGACCACGGAGUAAAAUGAUUACUGGACGGCCCAACAAUAACGAGAAAGAAAAAACUGUUUUAGGUUGAUUUUUUAAAGAGAAAAUAAAUAUUUAUUUGACA
rnacentral:misc_RNA from 1 species